AGGCAAGCCCGCGCUGCGCCGCCCCCGGUAUAUUUGUCCCCAGGCCCCGGGGCCGCCUCAUUUUCAACCCUCUCAGCACAGUCUCCCUUAACGCUCCCGCCACGCCGCCUCCGCCCGCGCAAUGGCUCUGUAGCCGCGACCCCGUCGUGUCCCCCGCCCCCGUCUCCGCGCUCACCGCGCCUUCACUCUCCGCUCACACCGUCUCUUCAGCCGAGGCCGCCGCCGCCGUUGCCUCCUCGCCUUUUCGCCGCCAUGGAGUCCUCCACCUUCGCCUUGGUGCCUGUCUUCACCCAGCUGAACAAUCUUCCACGCUGCCUCCCAAUUGUUGGUGCAGCCUCCAUUGCCGUCGCUGCCCUGUGCCUGUGUCACAGCCAUGUCACUCCUGGCGACCCUGGGACUGGAGCUGGACAGGGCCCUGCUCCCAGCUAGCGGGCUGGGCUGGCUCGUAGACUAUGGGAAACUCCCCCUGGCCCCUGCCCCCCUGGGCCCCUAUGAGGUCCUUGGGGGUGCCCUGGAGGGCGGGCUUCCAGGGGGGGGAGAGCCCCUGGCAGGUGACGGCUUCUCUGAUUGGAUGACUGAGCGGGUGGACUUCACAGCUCUCCUUCCUCUGGAGGCCCCUCUGCCCCCAGGCACUCUCCCCCCACCCUCCCCGGCCCCCCCUGACCUGGAAGCCAUGGCAUCCCUACUCAAGAAGGAGCUGGAACAGAUGGAAGACUUCUUCCUUGAUGCCCCACUUCUCCCACCGCCCUCCCCACCACCACCUCCACCACCAGCAGCAGCACCCUCUCUGCCCCUGCCCUUGCCCUUGCCCACCUUUGACCUCCCUCAGCCUCCUACCCUGGAUACCUUGGACCUGCUGGCUGUUUACUGCCGCAGUGAGGCCGGGCCGGGGGAUUCAGGCUUGUCAACCCUGCCUGUCCCACAGCAGCCUCCUCCUCUGGCCCCUCUGCCUUCACCCGCCCGCCCAGCCCCUUAUCCUAGUCCUGCCAGCACACGAGGGGACCGCAAGCAAAAGAAGAGAGACCAGAAUAAGUCAGCUGCUCUCAGGUACCGCCAGAGGAAGCGGGCAGAGGGCGAGGCCCUGGAGGGCGAGUGCCAGGGGCUGGAGGCCCGGAACCGGGAGCUGAGGGAGAGGGCUGAGUCAGUGGAGCGGGAGAUCCAGUACGUGAAGGACCUGCUAAUUGAGGUGUAUAAGGCCCGAAGCCAGAGGACCCGCAGCACCUAGGGUACAGGUCCAGGCUGGAGAGGGAGGUCUCGUGUACGUCUGUCUCCAGCGUCACACUACCCCUCCAUUCCACUUUCCUAUCCAGUCCAUCUCUAGGCUUCCCCUCUGCCUAACCCACUGUGGGCUAUUUGGCAGAGUCAGUUUCUGUACCCCUUCAGUGCAACUGAGAAAGCAAGGCCCUCAGGGAACUGGAGGAGGAGCCAGCCUGAUCCCUGGCCUCUGGAGUCUUAAAGCAAGUGUGUUUUUGCAGGUAGUCCUAGUUGGGUGUAGGGGGAGGCUGCCAGGCCUGGCAUGAACAUAAAGCAGGAAGCCACUCUGGGUGAUGGCAGAUGAGAACCUAGUCAGGGAGGGAGGGUUUUAAGGAGGGGACUUGGAACACAAGUGAGAAGCCAGUCAAGAAAAGGGAGCCAGGACCUCAGAAUUUAUACUGGCCUAGGGGACAGGAAGGGGUGAUUGUAGUUGGUAACUAGGGGUCAUUUUAGCUCUGUGAGAGAAUCAGUGUUUUGUGAGGGUGUGGGGGAAGGGUUGCAUCUAGUGGAGGCUGAUCCUCUAGGGGUUAUGGGCACAAAUAAAAUGCAGAUUUUCCUGUGG